AUUGAACGCUGGCGGCAUGCCUUACACAUGCAAGUCGAACGGUAACAGGUUAAGCUGACGAGUGGCGAACGGGUGAGUAAUAUAUCGGAACGUGCCCAGUCGUGGGGGAUAACGUAGCGAAAGCUACGCUAAUACCGCAUACGAUCUACGGAUGAAAGCGGGGGAUCGCAAGACCUCGCGCGAUUGGAGCGGCCGAUAUCAGAUUAGGUUGUUGGUGAGGUAAAAGCUCACCAAGCCUGCGUUCUGUAGCGGGUCUGAGAGGACGACCAGCCACACUGGAACUGAGACACGGUCCAGACUCCUACGGGAGGCAGCAGUGGGGAAUUUUGGACAAUGGACGCAAGUCUGAUCCAUCAAUGCCGCGUGCAGGACGAAGGCCUUCGGGUUGUAAACUGCUGUUGUACGGAACGAAACGGUGAGCUCUAAUACAGUUUGCUAAUGACGGUACCGUAAGAAUAAGCACCGGCUAACUACGUGCCAGCCGCCGCAGUAA
rnacentral:rRNA from 1 species